GAUGAAGAACGUAGCGAAAUGCGAUAAGUAGUGUGAAAUGCAGAAUUCAGUGAAUCAUCGAAUCUUUGAACGCACAUUGCGCCUCCUGGUAUUCCGGGAGGCAUGCCUGUUCGAGCGUCAUUAAAAUCACUCAAGCUUAGGUUUACCUAUUGCUUGGUCUUGGAGAUGGAAGCCAAUUUAUUGGAAUCCUCUUCGAAAUUCAAUGGCGAAGACCCUUGCUCUCCCAAGUGUAGUAAUAACUUAUGUCACUGAAGGAAGCGAGAAAUCUUCUGCCGUAACCCCCAUAUUUUCUAUGAUUGACCUCGGAUCAGGUAGGGAUACCCGCUGAACUUAAGCAUAUCAAUAAGCGGAGGA
rnacentral:misc_RNA from 1 species